rnacentral:rRNA from 1 species
GGGGAAUAUUGCACAAUGGGCGAAAGCCUGAUGCAGCAACGCCGCGUGAGCGAUGAAGGCCUUCGGGUCGUAAAGCUCUGUCCUCAAGGAAGAUAAUGACGGUACUUGAGGAGGAAGCCCCGGCUAACUACGUGCCAGCAGCCGCGGUAAUACGUAGGGGGCUAGCGUUAUCCGGAAUUACUGGGCGUAAAGGGUGCGUAGGCGGGCUUUCAAGCCAGAAGUGAAAGGCUACGGCUCAACCGUAGUAAGCUUUUGGAACUGUAAGACUUGAGUGCAGGAGAGGAGAGUGGAAUUCCUAGUGUAGCGGUGAAAUGCGUAGAUAUUAGGAGGAACACCAGUAGCGAAGGCGGCUCUCUGGACUGUAACUGACGCUGAGGCACGAAAGCGUGGGGAGCAAAC